CCGGCGCACGGGUGAGUAACACGUAUCCAACCUGCCGUCUACUCUUGGACAGCCUUCUGAAAGGAAGAUUAAUACAAGAUGGCAUCAUGAGUCCGCAUGUUCACAUGAUUAAAGGUAUUCCGGUAGACGAUGGGGAUGCGUUCCAUUAGAUAGUAGGCGGGGUAACGGCCCACCUAGUCUUCGAUGGAUAGGGGUUCUGAGAGGAAGGUCCCCACAUUGGAACUGAGACACGGUCCAAACUCCUACGGGAGGCAGCAG
rnacentral:rRNA from 1 species